UACAGAGGGGGCAAGCGUUAUUCGGAAUUACUGGGCGUAAAGCGUGCGCAGGCGGUUCGUCGUGUCCGAUGUGAAAGCCCCGGGCUCAACCUGGGAAUGGCAUUGGAGACUGCAAGGCUGGAGUCUGGCAGAGGGGGGUAGAAUUCCACGUGUAGCAGUGAAAUGCGUAGAGAUGUGGAGGAAUACCGAUGGCGAAGGCAGCCCCCUGGGAUGACACUGACGCUCAUGCACGAAAGCGUGGGGAGCAAACAGG
rnacentral:rRNA from 1 species